UUUAGUGUGAUAAUGGCGUUUGAUAGACUGGACACAAACACCAUUGUCACACUCCA
ensembl:miRNA